CCCUCAGUGGUAGCUGCCGCCACAGUAACUACUGCCAGUACAUCGGGGACGGGAUCCUCGGGGCCAAAGCCGCCCUCGUCAACGACGGAGAUAGCCGCGGUUGCCGAGGAGACAGGGGGGAGUGAAUUCAGCGACAGCUGUUUGCGCUCCUCCCCCUAACCGGACUGACCUUAUCCAGACCAACCUCCAGCACAGCCAAACAGCGUCGGCUUCACUACGCAGACUGCUGGAGACCAACCCGAAGACCAUUGCCGCGAUCCAGGAGCCGUGGAUCAGGAAUGGCAAGGUAUGCGGCCUGGGUAACACCGGUGGUAAACUUUUGCUGGAUACCUCAGGACCUUACAACCAUUAGGUUACCUAGGGACGCACAUCCAGACAUCGUCCUGGCGUCCGCCUACCUACCGGGUGACGAGGACGUGCCCACUCCAGAACUCGGCCUUCUGGCUGACUACUGUGAGAGGGAGAAACUGGAGCUUAUAAUCGCAGCAGACUCCAACGCGCACCACACGCUAUGGGGUAAUGCAAAUACCAACGCUCGAGGUGAGAAUAUGCUUAACUUCAUUCUUAGCAAUAAUCUUAUCUUAGCAAACAGCGGCUCUGAACCAACCUUUAUCAACGCACGCUCGCAAACCAUAAUCGAUCUAACAAUGGUGACCUCUGGUCUGUCAGAUCACAUACAGGAUUGGCAUGUCUCCAGAGAGCUAUCAUGCUCAGAUCACAGGUGGAUCCGCUUUACAAUCAAAGGGGAGCUACCUAAACCACAACCACGACGCAUACCUCGGAGAACUGAUUCAGUAAA